AAUAUUGGACAAUGGGCGCAAGCCUGUUCUAGCCAUGCCGCGUGAGUGAUGAAGGCCCUAGGGUUGUAAAGCACUUUCAAUGGAGAAGAUAAUGACGGUAACCGAAGAAGAAGCACCGGCUAACUUCGUUCCAGCAGUCGCGGUAAUACGAAGGGGGCUAGCGUUGUUCGGAAUUACUGGGCGUAAAGCGCACGUUGGCGGAUUGGUCAGUUAGGGGUGAGAUCCCAGGGCUCAACCCUGGAACUGCCUUUAAUACUGCCGGUCUAGAGUUCGAGAGAGGUGAGUGGAGUUCCGAGUGUAGAGGUGAAAUUCGUAGAUAUUCGAAGGAACACCAGUGGCGAAGGCGGCUCACUGGCUCAAUACUGACGCUGAGGUGCGAAAGCGUGGGGAGCAAACAG
rnacentral:rRNA from 1 species